rnacentral:rRNA from 1 species
GCGGAGGGAUCAUUAUAGAGUUUUAUAACUCCCAACCCUUUGUGAACUUACCUUUGUUGCCUCGGCGGGACCUACCCGGUACCUGUCCCUUUUGGGACAGACUACCCUGUAGCCCGCCGGUGGAUAUUCAAAACUCGUUAUUUUAAUGUUAUCUGAGCGUCUUAUUUUAAUAAGUCAAAACUUUCAACAACGGAUCUCUUGGUUCUGGCAUCGAUGAAGAACGCAGCGAAAUGCGAUAAGUAAUGUGAAUUGCAGAAUUCAGUGAAUCAUCGAAUCUUUGAACGCACAUUGCGCCCAUUAGUAUUCUAGUGGGCAUGCCUGUUCGAGCGUCAUUUCAACCCUUAAGCCUAGCUUAGUGUUGGGAAUCUACUGUGGUAGUCUUCUACCUUGUAGUUCCUGAAAUGAAACGGCGGAUCUGCAGUAUCCUCUGAGCGUAGUAAAUUUUUAUCUCGCUUUUGUAAGGUGCUGUGGCUCUUGCCGCUAAACACCCAAUUUUUAAUGGUUGACCUCGGAUCAGGUAGGAAUACCCGCUGAACUUAAGCAUAU